UACAGAGGGGGCAAGCGUUAUUCGGAAUUAUUGGGCGUAAAGGGCGCGUAGGCGGUUCUUCAAGUCUCUCGUGAAAUCCCUCGGCUUAACUGAGGACGUGCGGGAGAUACUGAAGGGCUUGAGUCCGGAAGAGGGUGGUGGAAUUCCCAGUGUAGCGGUGAAAUGCGUAGAUAUGACCCGGAACACCGAUUGCGAAGGCAGCCCACUAAGCAACUAUUGACGCUGAGGCACGAAAGCGUGGGGAUCAAACAGG
rnacentral:rRNA from 1 species